rnacentral:rRNA from 1 species
GACGAACGCUGGCGGCGUGCUUAACACAUGCAAGUCGGACGGUUUGCGCUGGAAGGUUCGCUGGAAGGCGCAGAUAGUGGCGGACGGGUGAGUAACGCGUGAGGACAUGUCUGCAGGAGGGGGAUAACGUUUGGAAAAGGACGCUAAGACCCCGUAAGCCGGGAGGUAAAAGUGGCGAAAGCCAGCCUGUGGAGUGACUCGCGUCCUAUCAGCUAGUUGGCGGGGUGAAGGCCCACCAAGGCGAUGACGGGUAGCCGACCUGAGAGGGUGGCCGGCCACACUGGAACUGAGAUACGGUCCAGACUCCUACGGGAGGCAGCAGUGGGGAAUAUUGCACAAUGGGCGCAAGCCUGAUGCAGCGACGCCGCGUGGGGGAUGACGGCCUUCGGGUUGUAAACCUCUUUCGACUCCGAAGAAGCGUAAGUGACGGUAGGGGUAGAAGAAGCACCGGCUAACUACGUG